AUUGACAGAAGAAAAAAUAGAAAAGAGAGAGAAAGAGAAAGAGGGUUUUAAAGUCUCUU
rnacentral:sRNA from 1 species